rnacentral:rRNA from 1 species
GUGUCAGCCGCCGCGGUAAGACGAACCGUGCGAACGUUGUUCGGAUUCACUGGGCUUAAAGGGCGCGUAGGCGGUCGAUCAAGUCCGGGGUGAAAUCGUUCGGCUUAACCGGACAAGUGCCUUGGAUACUGGUCGGCUGGAGGGAGGUAGGGGCAGCUGGAACUUCUGGUGGAGCGGUGAAAUGCGUUGAUAUCAGAAGGAACGCCGGUGGCGAAAGCGAGCUGCUGGACCUCUUCUGACGCUGAGGCGCGAAAGCUAGGGGAGCAAACGGGAUUAGAAACCCUGGUAGUCC